rnacentral:rRNA from 1 species
UUUCCGCCAGAGAACUACGAGUGAAAAACUUAAAACUCAAAGGACUUGACGGUGUCCCAUAUCGGCCUAGAGGAGCCUGUCCUAUAAUCGAUACCCCCCGUUCCACCCAACCCCAACUAGCAAAACAUCAGCCUAUAUACCGCCGUCGACAGUUUACCCUAUGAAGGUCCAAUAGUAGACACAACAGCCCUAACGCUAAUACGUCAGGUCAAGGUGUAGCAAAUGCUGGGGAAGAGAUUGGCUACAUUUUUUAUGAUAAAAAACACGAAUUGCACCAUGAAAAAGUGCAUGAAGGUGAAUUUAGUAGUAAAACAGAUAAGAGUGUCUGUUUUAACAACGCUCUGGGACGCGUACACACCGCCC